AAAAGGUGCCCCCACUACCA
rnacentral:tRNA from 1 species